UACGGAGGGUGCAAGCGUUGCUCGGAUUUAUUGGGCGUAAAGGGCAGGUAGGUGGUCUCGUUUGUCUGGGGUGAAAGCCUUGAGCUUAACUCAAGAAGUGCCCCAGAAACGGCGAGACUAGAGUCCUAGAGAGGGUCGUGGAAUUCCCGGUGUAGCGGUGAAAUGCGUAGAUAUCUGGAGGAAUACCGGUGGCGAAGGCGGCAUCCUGGACCGACAUUGACGCUGAGGAGCGAAAGCUAGGGGAGCAAACGGG
rnacentral:rRNA from 1 species